rnacentral:rRNA from 1 species
ACUCAAAUGAAUUGACGGGGACCCGCACAAGUAGGGGAACGUGUGGUUUAAUUCGAGACGAAACGAAAAACCUCACCAGGGCUUGACAUACAAGUAGUAAAACCCGGAAACGGGGAUGAUCCGCAAGGAAGCUUGUACAGGUGCUGCAUGGUUGUCGUCAGCUCGUGUCGUGAGAUGUAGGCUUAAGUGCCUCAACGAGCGCAACCCCCAUUGCAUGUUGUAUCACUCAUGCGAAACUGCCCCGCGCUUAGCGGGGAGGAGGGUGGGGACGAUGUCAAAUCAUCAUAGCCCUUAUGUCCUGGGCUACACACACGUUACAAUGGCGAAUAACAACGAGUCGCAAAGCCGCGAGGCCCAGCCAAUCUCUUAAAUUUCGCCUCAGUUCAGAUAGCAGGCUGAAAUUCGCCUGCUUGAAGAUGGACUUACUAGUAAUCGCAGGUCAGCAUACUGCGGUGAAUACGUUCUCGGGUCUUGUACACACCGCCCGU